rnacentral:rRNA from 1 species
UUUAGAUCCUGGCUCAGGAUGAACGCUGGCGGCGUGCUUAACACAUGCAAGUCGAACGGUGAAGGUGGAGCUUGCUCUGCUGGAUCAGUGGCGAACGGGUGAGUAACACGUGAGCAAUCUGCCCCUGACUCUGGGAUAACAGUUGGAAACAGCUGCUAAUACCGGAUACGAGCUGCGAAGGCAUCUUCAGCAGUUGGAAAGAAUUUCGGUCAGGGAUGAGCUCGCGGCCUAUCAGCUUGUUGGUGAGGUAACGGCUCACCAAGGCGUCGACGGGUAGCCGGCCUGAGAGGGUGACCGGCCACACUGGGACUGAGACACGGCCCAGACUCCUACGGGAGGCAGCAGUGGGGAAUAUUGCACAAUGGGCGCAAGCCUGAUGCAGCAACGCCGCGUGAGGGACGACGGCCUUCGGGUUGUAAACCUCUUUUAGCAGGGAGGAAGCGAAAGUGACGGUACCUGCAGAAAAAGCACCGGCUAACUACGUG